GGGACCACCCAAUAAGCAACCGGGAAACCACAUACCAUGGACAGUGCUCGGGGAAUUUCGGCUCCUCCUCAUCCCUGGGGGUUCCAGGGAUCUGGCAGAGAAAGAAGCCCAGUCUUACAGCAAUGACUCCUGAACAUCCUUUGCAAACACUAUUUAGGACAGAUGGACCGAAGUAGGCCCUGGGGAGAGUUGGGGGCAUUUCGGGAGGCCAGACCAAAGGUGAUCUCCAGGAGAUUUGGAUGUUAGUGCAGGAUAGCUUAGAGCCAAGUGGCAGAUAAGUCUUUGGGAGCCAGAAGGGCUCUUCUCUAAGGAACAAGUGUAGACCUAUAGGGGCAAGAACCUGUGGCAACCCUGGGAGGGGUCUGCAGAUUCAGGAGGGAACAUCCCAAAACUCAGCAGAGGGGGAGAGGGAGCUUUUGUUGGUCGCCUGGAACCACUACCAAUCCAUGUUCAUGUCAAAUUAAAUGAUCACUUUGAAAUUU
rnacentral:antisense_RNA from 1 species